rnacentral:rRNA from 1 species
CCUACGGGAGCAGCAGUGGGGAAUAUUGCACAAUGGGCGCAAGCCUGAUGCAGCCACGCCGCGUGUAUGAAGAAGGCCUUCGGGUUGUAAAGUACUUUCAGCGGGGAGGAAGGUGUUGUGGUUAAUAACCGCAGCAAUUGACGUUACCCGCAGAAGAAGCACCGGCUAACUACGUGCCAGCAGCCGCGGUAAU